ensembl:lncRNA
CAUACACUGAUUUUAAUAAUGCUCUUUCUCUAUGCAAUGGAGUCUAAAGCCAUACAAUAAAUGCAACAACUGAAUUGAAACGGAAAUUACAUUAAAAUAAUAAACAUGCUCAUCAUAAAAAAUAGCUUUACAAAUAGUAUACAUUUCUAUACAUGUUUUUAUUCAAUGGAUCGUGUCCUUGGGCCGAUGGCCAAUUUUGAUCAUAGACUGUAUAUAAUAGCAUAUUCUCUGAAAUGUUAUGUUAAAAAAAAAGAAAAAGAAAAAGAAAGACUUAAUAUACACACAUUGCUCACAAUGAGAAAUUACAUUUUAUGAUGGUAAUCAUGUUUUUUAAAUUUUUUUUUAUUUGUUAUAUCUGUUUCUUUACAUUCUCCAUUUCUCCAUGAGUACAUUAUACAGAAGUCAGAUGCAGGAAAAAAAAGUUAGGACAUUGAAGAAAAAAAAAGAAGCAGAACUUUCUAAAGCCAUCAAAUUUUGCCAUACAAAAAUAGAGUCCACUAUCAGUGUUUUGUAACUGAGAUCAAUGAGUAACUGAGAUGUGGUGUUUAUCUGCAGUUUAUCAUCCAUUAAACAUGCUGUAUGUAGGAAUACAUGAUAAAACACACGAAUCCAUAUUGGUUCAAAGGAUAAACAUGAAUCAAAUACUAGUUAAUUUAGUGAUAAUUCUCAGGACAAUGUGGCCGAUCUACAGACGUGACAUGGCAGUACAGUGCUGAAAGUCUUUGGGCUAGUUUUCUGGACUGACUGAACUGGGAUUUGUCAUUUAGGCGCAGGUGCAGCACUGGAUCGGGAAACCAACCAAAUGUUUGGACAUCAUUGAAUUAAUGGGGUGUGAACAGUCGAACAUUAAAGUAAAUAUUAUCACCAUUGCUGAAAGCUUGAGUGGGGAUGGCACACCUGAGGCGGUUAUUACACAGCACUGUGUGAGGCUGAAGAAAAGAACGAGAAUGAGAUCAGGGGCUGAUGAGAAAGAUGGCAAGAUAGAGAAAUAAAGGGAGGACGAAAUGAGAGAAGGACAAAGCGGGAAUUCGAGAUGGAAAGAGAGAGAGAUGAGUAUGACUCAUGGCAGACACAUGGCAGUGCUUGCCGGAGGGAAGCCACAGCAGCUACAGCAGCAUCUGCUUUCCUCCACUGCAGAAGGGAAAAAUCCAAUGAAAGAAAUGCGUGAGGUGAUGAACGACGAUAAAUCUUCUUCAGUCUUAAUAACAGCACUGCGUUCUCUUUAAGACUAUAUCCCCC